rnacentral:rRNA from 1 species
AUUGAACGCUGGCGGCAUGCCUUACACAUGCAAGUCGAACGGCAGCGGGCCUUCGGGUGCCGGCGAGUGGCGAACGGGUGAGUAAUGCAUCGGAACGUGCCAUUGAGUGGGGGAUAACGUAGCGAAAGUUGCGCUAAUACCGCAUAUUCUGUGAGCAGGAAAGCAGGGGACCGCAAGGCCUUGCGCUCUUUGAGCGGCCGAUGUCAGAUUAGCUAGUUGGUGGGGUAACGGCUUACCAAGGCGACGAUCUGUAGCGGGUCUGAGAGGAUGAUCCGCCACACUGGAACUGAGACACGGUCCAGACUCCUACGGGAGGCAGCAGUGGGGAAUUUUGGACAAUGGGGGCAACCCUGAUCCAGCCAUGCCGCGUGAGUGAAGAAGGCCUCGGUUGUAAG